rnacentral:rRNA from 1 species
UGGAUCCAGACUUUGAUUAUGGCUCAGGAUGAACGCUAGCUACAGGCUUAACACAUGCAAGUCGAGGGGAAACGACAUCCAAAGCUUGCCUUUGAUGGGCGUCGACCGGCGCACGGGUGAGUAACGCGUAUCCAACCUGCCCACCACUUGGGGAUAACCUUGCGAAAGUAAGACUAAUACCCAAUGACGUCUCUAGAAGACAUCUGAAAGAGAUUAAAGAUUUAUCGGUGAUGGAUGGGGAUGCGUCUGAUUAGCUUGUUGGCGGGGUAACGGCCCACCAAGGCGACGAUUAGUAGGGGUUCUGAGAGGAAGGUCCCCCACAUUGGAACUGAUACACGGUCCAAACUCCUACGGGAGGCAGCAGUGAGGAAUAUUGGUCAAUGGACGAGAGUCUGAACCAGCCAAGUAGCGUGCAGGAUGACGGCCCUAUGGGUUGUAAACUGCUUUUAUAAGGGAAUAAAGUGAGUCUCGUGAGACUUUUUGCAAGUACCUUAUGAAUAAGGACCGGCUAAUUCCGUGCCAGCAGCCGCGGUAAUACGGAAGGUCCGGGCGUUAUCCGGAUUUAUUGGGUUUAAAGGGAGCGUAGGCCGGAGAUUAAGCGUGUUUGUGAAAAUGUAA